UACGUAGGUGGCAAGCGUUGUCCGGAUUUAUUGGGCGUAAAGCGAGCGCAGGCGGUUCCUUAAGUCUGAUGUGAAAGCCCACGGCUCAACCGUGGAAGGUCAUUGGAAACUGGGGAACUUGAGUGCAGAAGAGGAGAGUGGAAUCCCAUGUGUAGCGGUGAAAUGCGUAGAUAUAUGGAGGAACACCAGUGGCGAAGGCGACUCUCUGGUCUGUAACUGACGCUGAGGCUCGAAAGCGUGGGGAGCAAACAGGAUUAGAUA
rnacentral:rRNA from 1 species